rnacentral:rRNA from 1 species
GACGAACGCUGGCGGCGUGCCUAAUACAUGCAAGUUGAGCGCUGAAGGUUGGUACUUGUACCGACUGGAUGAGCAGCGAACGGGUGAGUAACGCGUGGGGAAUCUGCCUUUGAGCGGGGGACAACAUUUGGAAACGAAUGCUAAUACCGCAUAAAAACUUUAAACACAAGUUUUAAGUUUGAAAGAUGCAAUUGCAUCACUCAAAGAUGAUCCCGCGUUGUAUUAGCUAGUUGGUGAGGUAAAGGCUCACCAAGGCGAGGAUACAUAGCCGACCUGAGAGGGUGAGCAGCCACAUUGGGACGGGGACACGGCCCAAACUCCUACGGGAGGCAGCAGUAGGGAAUCUACGGCAAUGGACGAAAGUCUGACCGAGAAACGCCGCGUGAGGGAAGAAGGGUUUCGGAUCGUAAAACUCUGUUGGUAGAGAAGAACGUUGGUGAGAGUGGAAAGCUCAUCAAUUGACGGUAACUACCCAGAAAGGGACGGCUAACUGCGUG